UCAUAGUACGUGAAACCGUUCAGGGGUAAACCUGAGAAACCCGAAAGGUCGAAUGGGGAGAUUCAGCGUGUCACGUCGCAGGAGAGUUUCGGUCGAGUGACGGACCGGUGCUUGCACCGGACUGCGCCGUCCGGAUCCGCAACCUGCGGCGAACUCGUGCACUUCUCCCCUAGUAGGACGUCGCGACCCGUUGGGUGCCGGUCUAAGGCCGACGGCGUAGACUCGGGGGGCGUCUUCGGGCGUCCAUCGAGACCCGUCGUGUCCCGACCGGCCCGCUCGACGGUAAGACAGAGGCGUGGGGUCGCGAACCAGUUCGCGUCCGGCCCGUCACAAGCACGCGCGAAAUGCUCGGAAUGUCGGACCUGUGUGCCGGCCCCGAGCUCGCACGGCUGUUGGUGACGGUGUCCUCGGACAGGCCCGAUACACGUCGGUCGGCGACGCUUUAGCUUUGGGUACUUUCAGGACCCGUCUUGAAACACGGACCAAGGAGUCUAGCAUGUGCGCGAGUCAUUGGGACCGCAUCUAAACCUAAAGGCAAAAUGAAAGUGAAGGCCGCCUCGCGCGUGCCUAGGGAGGACGGGUCGGGCCAUUCGGCCCGCGACCCCGCACUCCCGGGGCGUCUCGUUCUCAUCGCGAGAUGAGGCGCACCCAGAGCGUACACGCUGGGACCCGAA
rnacentral:rRNA from 1 species